rnacentral:rRNA from 1 species
AGCGAACGCUGGCGGCAGGCUUAACACAUGCAAGUCGAGCGGGCAUCCUUGUGGUGUCAGCGGCAGACGGGUGAGUAACGCGUGGGAACGUGCCCUUCGGUUCGGAAUAACUCAGGGAAACUUGAGCUAAUACCGGAUACGUGCGAGAGCAGAAAGGUUUAUCUGCCGAAGGAUCGGCCCGCGUCUGAUUAGCUAGUUGGUGAGGUUAUGGCUCACCAAGGCGACGAUCAGUAGCUGGUCUGAGAGGAUGAUCAGCCACACUGGGACUGAGACACGGCCCAGACUCCUACGGGAGGCAGCAGUGGGGAAUAUUGGACAAUGGGGGUAACCCUGAUCCAGCCAUGCCGCGUGAGUGAUGACGGCCUUAGGGUUGUAAAGCUCUUUUCUCCGGGACGAUAAUGACGGUACCGGAGGAAUAAGCCCCGGCUAACUUCGUG